rnacentral:lncRNA from 1 species
AUGCUGAGUAUGUAUGUUUUGUGAACAAACAUAUUAUUGUAGCCGUUGGUGUUUAUUCAAGCAUCUGAACUUUUGAAACAUAGGAUAACUUCAUAAUAGGCCCAUAGCUGGUGAGGACUCCAAAAGCCUUAUUUCCUCACUAGUCACCCAGCUUCUGGCAGAUAGAGGAAUACCUCAGGGUAAUUCCCUGCAUGCAACAGUUCCAGCGAGUUAAUAUAUCUCGCAAUUCUAAUGUCAUCAUGCCUACGCUACUUGACACUACCAAUCUAUUUACUGCGAAGGGUGAAGGGAGGAUGGAAAAAAUGAAAGAACUGACAGCAAGCAACUGGUGCUCGACUCGGACUGGAAUAGAAACGUUGCACUUUGCGAAUGUAUUGCGCACAGCUUGGGGGCGAAUCAGCGGGAACUGGGUCAUGAGGGCAUUGAGGCACAGGCACACGAUUAUGCUCCCAGCGGGAGUGCUGUCGUUCUCCUCGGCGACCAGAGCGGCCCCACUGCAGCACGAGCAAGAUAGAGUGUAGCUACCAUUGCUGCUGGAGAAGGGUAUGAGGCACGGAAUUAGCGGCGGCUGGACGACAUCACAGGCAUUGACGGCACCAACUGUCAUCGGAUGCUCCGAAGAGGAGAAAGAGAAGGGAGAGGGAGAGCAGGGAGUUAGAAGAAGUUGAAGCCAUUUUGAGGUAGGCUGUAUUUUGGGAUGGCUUAGGUUUGGGGACGUGGUGGUGCUUAAAUAAGAAGGCAUAUAUGCAUGCAGAUAGAGAGAGGAGAGAGAUUUGAUUGACAGCAGUCAGGCGUAUAUUGGUCGGUAUGAUGGGCACAGCAGCAAACCCAGGAUAAUGAGGCUGGCGGGGGGCACGGUGAUGAAACUGGUGCCUGCCCAAGGUUUCAACUUUCAAUAAUGCCGACCUGCCAAAUGUUAAAAGCGAGAGAAGAAUUCGAUUAGUAUAUGCUUUAGCCGUGUAAAAGGAAUAUCCGUAAUAACCUUCUCUCUUACUGUACUAGAUUUCAGUUGCUUCGGAGUGGCAUAAAAAUUGGCUUUUUUCCCAUUACAAUGACGGAACUCACAUGCUACAUUAAGGGCCACAGCUCAAAUAUGUCAUGUAGGGUGUACUUCGAGUAGCCUAUUUGAGCCAACAUUUUUUGUGUUAUCGAACUAAUGUUUCACCUAGAGAUAGAUGAGUUCUAAUACAUACAAGUCUGUCUAAAACAUGAAAGAGCACACGAUACUCUUCAAAAGCUCUGUUGGUUAGGACAAUAAAAGGCAUUAUAAACUAGUGCCUGUUAGAUCCAUCGUCAUCCGUAAGAUCAAAAAUAUCAAAACACUCUGUUUACUAUAUUUUUUUAAAUGCUAAAGUCUUUUUUGACAGAUAUGGGAAAAAGCACUUUCUUGACAGGGCACAUGAAGUUUUCAGGGGGUGGGUUGUCACAGCAGAAAAACAUUUAAUCCAUAAUAGAUUUGGGGACGCCAUUAAUCCCUCUUGAAAUUUUUUGAAUGAAUCCCUCUAGAAAUCCACACAAGCCUAUGAACAAGUUGCAAUGCUGCAGAGUAGGGAGGUCGAUUAAUUUGUUCCUCGAGCGGUACUUAUUUUGACAACCAUGGAGUCAAAAUCUUAUGAAAAACUUUAUGUUUUGCAGUAGAUUUUUUGUUUUUAACUCAUUUUGCAAUUACACCCACUGUUACAACUUCUCCAACAAGAACAUUUUCAAUUUAAUCUGGGUUCCAGCCUUUGAGGUUGAGUCAAGAGUCCCUUGGCAAGCAGUAAUCAGAAGCAUAAUUACUGCAUGAAAAUAGACAGUUUUGAUGUACUGCUUGCAACCAUAAACUCCAGAAUCUGAUCCUGUUAGUUACUCAGCCAUAGCAUGUUAUGACUUUCAUAUUCAAUUUUGAUGAUGUAUUUAAAGGAGUAUGAUGUUUUCCUUCACUUCCCCCAAAAAUGAAUUUUAAAAUCAAAUCCAAUUCUAAGAUUAUUUUUAUCAUAUUAACAGAAGGGAUGAGACCUAAAACAUUUGAAAUCGAUUUUAAAUCCACCAUCGGAUACAAGAAACAGGGAAAGAAAAACACUUCUGCUGAAACACCAAUUCGCAUGAGGCAAUCAAACACUUUUUGUUCAUUAGAGGCUGCAAAUUUACCGAAGAACUAGACUAUAUAGACUGCUAUUGUAAUGUGAAAUUGCAAGUACAGAGAAUGGAUCGACCAGUCAUUACUAUACAUGGCUUAAUGGAGAUUUGAGGAGCAUAUAGGAAAAUUUUCCAAGAAGUUGACAAAAUAAUUAAAAUUACACUGACCAGAUAUUAUGUAUACGCAGGAAACCAUCAAAAGAAUCCAAUGAUCAGCUAGGUGGCAAGGAGUCAGGAUCUUCAACAUGCAGUUAAAGCAUGCAGCAGAAAGUGAGAACUUCACUUUUAUAUCAGAAACUUCUAUGCCUCUUAAUACACAAAUGGUCAAGCCAUGUGCUCUCUCACAAAGUUUAGUGUCCUUUUCUUCAAUAAAAUGUGCUUUUUUUCUUGAGAAAAAGAUUAGGUCAGAAGAUCAAACCAGAGACUGAAAUUCACAACUCGGAACCAUGCCCUAACGCAGGUAAAAGGGGGAAAAAAAACUCAAGGACAUCAGUCACGUGCAAGUGGAUCUGCCUCAACAGGAAAGGAUAAAGCUCGAGGAAGUCUCUAUAUAUAAAUUAACUGGAUCCAGAACUCACAAUUCAAGAGGUAAUAUAGACAACUAUUCCAUCCUUAAACUCAUUGGCCUCUUGCCUUCCUCAGCUUGACUUACAGAUGGCGCUACAAGAUGAAAAUCUCCAUAUUUCUUUCUUACAUUUCUGUUAUGCACAGCUUUUAACGCUACUGUAUUUAUUAGAUGCAGUCUGGUCGGUUUACCGUUGUGGCAAGUUAGACUGGUUGUGGCUAUACAGCAUCAUCCUUCAUACAUCUAAUAGGUGUGGUCUUAAUGUUUUAUUCUACAUUUAUGAUAACCAUGAGGAUCCACCAAAACUAUGCAUGCAAGGCUUUAACCUCAUUAAUAGAUGAUAAACUUCAAUGUCAUUCGAGUAACCCUAGACCUAAUCAAAAAUCAAAAGCCAUGGACAUCAAGCUGGCUACCAGAGUUUCAUGUACGACAAAACCACUUUGCAGUCCUUUUUUUUGGCAUCUGAAGGUAUUCGUUACCUGCAAAGGGAUUUCAUUUAAGACAACCCUACAGACAUAGUUUCAGCACUCAAAUCAUCACCUGCCAUUGUGAAUGACACCAUUUUGAUGAUUUUUCUCCUUCUGUUGACAAAACAUGAAUCUUAUAUUACAUUUACAAUAAUCCUACAAGGAUUUUUUUAAACCUCCUCAAGGAUUUAUUCUCCAACUAAGGAAAAAUACCUACAAGGCUUUCCUUAAAGCCCCUCAAGGAGUAACUGUCUACCUAAGUCAGUCAGGCAUCCAUUUGAUGACUAAUUUUAAUUUAGCGGAGACUCUUGAUAUAUUAGUUUCAUUGGUCAACCACUUGUCAGCUGCAAUUUUUCUGGUUCCCAUCAAAUGUUUAUUUAGGUGAUCCAUAUUCCUUUUUCUAAUCUCUAUUCCGAUCCAUUUAGAAUUGUUUUCUUUGUGUUAGAACAUUUAGUCAAAGUUUCAUCUCAGUUGACAUCUCUCCCAAGUUCUCAGUUUUUAUCAUUAUCAAGCAACCCCAAAUAUGAUAUCUCUGAAAUUCUCAGUUCUAUUAUUUGAGCUGAUAUAAAACCAGGUAUAUCAGUCAAUACAAUUUUAUUCCUACCAAUCGAUAUUUUUUCAAGUAGUUUUUUUUUUAAUAAUAUUUCUUAAUUAAUAAAUCUUGAAAUUAAUGUAUGAAUAUAGUUGAUAAUCUCAGAUUAACUAUAUCAGCUGAAAUAUUCAUCCUAAAAUAUCUGCCAUGAUCUCAGAAAAUCUUGGCUCCCUCCAAUUUUUCCCACGUACCAUAUCAACUGAGAUACACUAACUCUUGGUUCACCACAGUUCCAAUCACUCGCUGAGAUAACUCAUAUGUUAGGAUUUAAAACCUUUUAUUUACUGUAUUUUGGGUACCUGAUUCAUCUUAAGUGUUGUUUUAGAAAUUCCAUCACUGGAGGUAAUUUGUGUUAAAUGUCCUAUUCCUAGACUUCAUUUACUCGAGAAUAUUUCCUAAACUUGAUUAUCCUAGUGAUUACCCAAGCCAUCUUAAGUGUUGCUCUCAUUUUUAAGAUCCAAUAAACCCUUCCUGCUUCCUUGGCAUAUGUUUCAUUAAUACAGUUCUGCUCCUAUCUAUUGUUGCCUUUGGCAUGAGACACAUCUGGAUAUCCAUAAAGGCCAUUGCUGGAAUUGAUGAAAAGUUUUCUGAUCUAUAUGGUCCAUUUCAGCCAACUUUCACAUGAUGUUUUUCAAUUUUAUAUUUCUGCAUGGAAAGCAGGAAAAAAAUGACUUCUGGCUACGAAGUGAAGCUUGACACCAUAUAUUCACAUACUCACCAAGUGAAACAUUAGAACAUAUAUUACCCUGGUAAGCAACCAAAAGGUGAUGGUAAGGCUUUUGAGCGAUCCCCUGGGUUCAAUUUGGUUGCAGUGGCAAAUAGACGGCACUUUCCAUCAGUAUUUUGUGGUCAAACUGAAGAAAAACUAUAAGCAAUUCAACCUAGGUAUGGCGACUCUCAAGAAAAAUUCUGGAUAGAACUCUACAAACAGGAUUUCAAUAGAAGAGGACCACUAGUGACAAUUCCAAAUCAUUUUAUCAUGGCUUUUCCCAUGAUGAUUUGUAUAUUUUUCUUUUUCUGGCAUGCGCCAAGAUUCAAUGGUUCUAUUCUAUUAAUUCUCACGGUUCCUCUUCAAACAGAUAAAUCAAGGAAAUAAAAUAAAAAAGAACCCCAGGCUCAGAUCAAAUAAGCCCUUCCACUCGGGGUACUUUCAAUCAAAGACUCAUAAUUGACCCCGAUUCACCAAUAUUUGCCAAGACUCCUAAUACUGUAAAACGUCUCUAAACUUCGAUCUGAUAAGAGCACCAUCAACUUCCAUUGCGUCCAGCAAAUGAUAGAGCAAAACACGAGAUUUAGAAGUCAAAGUACACACAUAUCCGAGGUAAAGAAAAGUAGAUCACAGAGAGAUAGAUGAAUUAUGUAUCGCAAAACAAGUAGUACAAGUGAAUCGGAGGAUAUGAAAAGGAAUUUAAGGGGAAGGCGUUCAAAUCAAGCGGACUGGUUCGCAAGAAAAGACCUGGUGGGGAAGCCGCCAGGCCUCGGCGGAUCCGAAGCACAUGUCGUCGAGGGCGUCGCUGCGGCACCACCGGCAGCGCCUGGAGCUCCGCUGGCACUCGCUCCUCGACGCCAGCUCCCGGCACUCGAGGAUCGCCCCAGAGAUGCUCUCGUUCUUGGCCGUGGCGACGUGGAGGAGCAGCGCGAGAAGAAGGAGCAAAAGCACAGGCCAAGACCUGGCCAUUAUCGGGGGAAAAGUGGGUGCUGGGUCAGCGGGCGGCCCGUCGAGCGGCGGCAGCUAUUUUGGCCAUCUCGCAUCCUUCCUGGGGGUAUAUGUUCGAAACCCGAUCGUUCCGGUGGGAUGUAGCAGACCAGCUUUGGGAUCAUCCACACUUAUUGUCCGAAACCGGC